rnacentral:misc_RNA from 1 species
GAUGAAGAACGCAGCGAAAUGCGAUAAGUAAUGAGAAUUGCAGAAUUCAGUGAAUCAUCGAAUCUUUGAACGCACAUUGCGCCCGCCAGUAUUCUGGCGGGCAUGCCUGUUCGAGCGUCAUUUCAACCAUCAAGCCCCAGGCUUGUGUUGGGGACCUGCGGCUGCCGCAGGCCCUGAAAACCAGUGGCGGGCUCGCUAGUCACACCGAGCGUAGUAGCAUACACAUCGCUCAGGGCGUGCUGCGGGUUCCGGCCGUUAAACCCCUUUUUUACCCAAGGUUGACCUCGGAUCAGGUAGGAAGACCCGCUGAACUUAAGCAUAUCAAAAGCGGAGGA